rnacentral:ncRNA from 2 species
UUUAUCCAAAUCCAUCGAGGUGCCUCUUUUUGUUGAAGAGGAGAAUAGGGAAUCACGUUAAAAUCGUGAGCUGUCGCGCAACUGUAAACGCCACAAAAGUUUCUAUAGAUAAAAUCGAUCCACUGUUUCCGUUUUGGGAAUGGGAAGGAAAAAUAGAAACCGGUGUAAGCCAGGAGACCUGCCUUGAGGAAUAUUGACAA